rnacentral:rRNA from 1 species
AGAGUUUGAUCAUGGCUCAGAACGUACGCUGGCGGCACGCCUAAUACAUGCAAGUCGAACGAAGUAGCAAUACUUAGUGGCAGACGGGUGAGUAACAUGUGGGUAUCUUCCCUUUGGUGAGGAAUAACACGAGGAAACUUGUGCUAAUACCUCAUAAGUCUUUACAGAGAAAGCUUUAUGCGCCAUUGGAUGAGCCUGCACUUGAUUAGUUUGUUGGUGGGGUAAUGGCCUACCAAGACAAUGAUCAAUAGCUGAUUUGAGAGGAUGAUCAGCCACAUUGGGACUGAGACACGGCCCAAACUCCUACGGGAGGCAGCAGUAGGGAAUCUUGCACAAUGGAGGAAACUCUGAUGCAGCGAUGCCGCGUGAGUGAAGAAGGCCUUUGGGUUGUAAAGCUCUUUCGUCGGGGAAGAAAAUGACUGUACCCGAAUAAGAAGGUCCGGCUAACUUCGUGCCAGCAGCCGCGGUAAUACGAAGGGACCUAGCGUAGUUCGGAAUUACUGGGCUUAAAGAGUUCGUAGGUGGUUAAAAAAGUUGAUGGUGAAAUCCCAGAGCUUAACUSUGGAACUGCCAUCAAAACUUUUUAGCUAGAGUAUGAUAGAGGAAAGCAGAAUUUCUAGUGUAGAGGUGAAAUUCGUAGAUAUUAGAAAGAAUACCAAUUGCGAAGGC